GACGAACGCUGGCGGCGUGCCUAACACAUGCAAGUCGAACGGAAAGGCCCUGCUUUCGUGGGGUGCCCGAGUGGCGAACGGGUGAGUAACACGUGAGUAACCUUCCCUUGACUUUGGGAUAACUUCAGGUAACUGGGGCUACUACCGGAUAGGAGCUCCUGCAGCAUGGUGGGGGUUGGAACGUUUCGGCGGUUGGGGAUGGACUCGCGGCUAAUGAGCUUGUUGGUGGGGUAGCGGCUUACCCAGGCCUUGACGGGUAGCCGGCAUGAGAGGGUGACCGGCGACAAUAGGACUAAGAUACGGAGCAGUGUGCUACGGGAGGCAGCAGUGGGGAGUCUUACACAAUGGGCGGGAGCCUGAUACGACAACCCCGCGUGCGGGAUGACGUCCUUCUGGUUGAGAACCGCAGUCGGCUAUGACGAAGCGUUUGUGACGGUAAUGAGUGAAGAAGCACCGGCUAACUACGUG
rnacentral:rRNA from 1 species